AUCCAACUGACGAGUCCCAAAUAGGACGAAAUGCGCGUCCUGGAU
rfam:Schistosoma mansoni strain Puerto Rico chromosome 4, complete genome